rnacentral:lncRNA from 1 species
UUUUAAAGAACUCAGAGGGGGUAGAUCUUGAUUGACAUCUCAUCUGGGGUCACCUGGUCUUCAACUGAGAGAUCUUUUGGUUCGCCACGGAUGCCCCUUGCAGUUAUGGAAGCUUCCCUGACCAGAGGUCGUUUUGAGUUUCCUUCUCUGGAAUUUGACCACUGAGCAGAGACACAUAGGAGAGAAGACGUGAAUGCUGAGUCAUCAAUCAGCAUCACUGGGAAGAAAAAGCCUCUCAGUUUCUUCUGCUGGGACUCCCAGAGCUGGAGUAUUUUCUGCUCUUCCUAAGGCCUG